UGAGAUGUUGGGUUAAGUCCCGCAACGAGCGCAACCCUUGAUCUUAGUUGCCAGCAUUUCGGAUGGGCACUCUAAGGUGACUGCCGGUGACAAACCGGAGGAAGGUGGGGAUGACGUCAAAUCAUCAUGCCCCUUAUGACCUGGGCUACACACGUACUACAAUGGCCGGUACAACGGGCUGUGAAGCCGCGAGGUGGAACGAAUCCUAAAAAGCCGGUCUCAGUUCGGAUUGCAGGCUGCAACUCGCCUGCAUGAAGUCGGAAUUGCUAGUAAUCGCGGAUCAGCAUGCCGCGGUGAAUACGUUCCCGGGUCUUGUACACACCGCCCGUCACACCACGAGAGUUUAUAACACCCGAAGUCGGUGGGGUAACCGCAAGGA
rnacentral:rRNA from 1 species